CAGCCACGGGUAGAUUUGGAACUUAGUAAAGAGCCUGGCCUCUUUGACUUGGUCAUUAUUAAUGAUGAUUUAGAAAAAGCAUAUUCUGAACUGAAGGAGGUGCUGCUGGAGGAAAUCCAGUUC